rnacentral:rRNA from 1 species
UACAGAGGUGGCAAGCGUUGUUCGGAAUUACUGGGCGUAAAGGGCGCGUAGGCGGCCAUCUAAGUCAGACGUGAAAUCCCCCGGCUUAACCUGGGAACUGCGUCUGAUACUGGACGGCUUGAGUAUGGGAGAGGGAUGUAGAAUUCCAGGUGUAGCGGUGAAAUGCGUAGAGAUCGGGCGGAACACCAGCGGCGAAGGCGGCAUCCUGGUCCUGUUCUGACGCUGAGGCGCGAGAGCGUGGGGAGCGAACUGG